rnacentral:rRNA from 1 species
UUGCUAUCACUUAUAGAUGGACCCGCGCCGUAUUAGCUAGUUGGUGAGGUAAUGGCUCACCAAAGCAACGAUACGUAGCCGACCUGAGAGGGUGAUCGGCCACACUGGAACUGAGACACGGUCCAGACUCCUACGGGAGGCAGCAGUAGGGAAUCUUCCGCAAUGGGCGAAAGCCUGACGGAGCAACGCCGCGUGAGUGAUGAAGGUCUUAGGAUCGUAAAACUCUGUUAUUAGGGAAGAACAAACGUGUAAGUAACUGUGCACGUCUUGACGGUACCUAAUCAGAAAGCCACGGCUAACUACGUGCCAGCAGCCGCGGUAAUACGUAGGUGGCAAGCGUUAUCCGGAAUUAUUGGGCGUAAAGCGCGCGUAGGCGGUUUUUUAAGUCUGAUGUGAAAGCCCACGGCUCAACCGUGGAGGGUCAUUGGAAACUGGAAAACUUGAGUGCAGAAGAGGAAAGUGGAAUUCCAUGCGUAGCGGUGAAAUGCGCAGAGAUAUGGAGGAACACCAGUGGCGAAGGCGACUUUCUGGUCUGUAACUGACGCUGAUGUGCGAAAGCGUGGGGAUCAAA